AUAAACGCUGGCGGCGUGCAUGAGACAUGCAAGUCGAACGAAGGAUCGGGCUUGCUCGAUCCUUAGUGGCGGACGGCUGAGUAACGCGUAGGUGACCUACCCCGAAGUGGGGAAUAACUGCCCGAAAGGGUGGCUAAUACCGCAUGUGGUCGCACGUUCAUUCGUGCGAGUAAAGCCGCAAGGCGCUUCGGGAGGGGCCUGCGUCCGAUUAGCUCGUUGGUGGGGUAAUGGCUUACCAAGGCGACGAUCGGUAGGUGGUCUGAGAGGACGAUCACCCAGACUGGGACUGAGACACGGCCCAGACUCCUACGGGAGGCAGCAGUCGGGAAUUUUGCUCAAUGGGGGAAACCCUGAAGCAGCAACGCCGCGUGAGGGAUGAAGGCCUUCGGGUUGUAAACCUCUUUUGUCAGGGACGAUGAUGACGGUACCGGGCGAAUAAGCCACGGCUAACUACGU
rnacentral:rRNA from 1 species